AACAGAAGUACCACAUAACUGGGUUCUUUAAAACAUAUGCUAGUUAUGGCAAUAUAUACUAUUUGGAGGCAGAGCUUGGCUAGUUUAUUCCAAUUUUUGGCUUACUAAAAACUCACAGACAUGGAUUCUACCAGGGAAGCCGAAAGGGCCUUCACUAACCCAUAUGGCCUCUUAGUGCAAACUCAAAAAGAGGCCUCUCCCCUCAAGCAAAGAAGCCUUGUGUCAGGACAUACAGUGGACAAAGGAUUGCAAGCUGGAUCUCAGCUUCAAGUUAUCCUCUUGGCUGGGACCAAAGGCAAAACAUAGAGUGAGGCUCUCUGCUCUUCAGCCACCAUGCAAGACAAUUUCAGCCAUAGAACCUAUGGACACUGCCCUUUGGGCAAAGGACACAGAGGGAGCUGUCAUGCAUAAAGUUAUCAGCACUCAAGAUGAAAAACGGAAGCCCUUCCUCGAGGCAGUCCACCUGCCUGGCAAACAGUUGUUUUUUUAAGUAGGUAAGACCUCCCAGAUCCUGGAGAGAAAUGUGUACCUUGUGGCUAGAAGACCUUUCAGGAGCACAGCUUGGGUGGGCAUUU